UACGUAUGGUGCAAACGUUGUUCGGAAUCACUGGGCUUAAAGCGGGCGUAGGCGGUUCGGCCAGUCUGUUGUGAAAUCCCUCGGCUCAACUGAGGAACUGCAACGGAUACUUCCGAGCUAGAGUGCAGGAGGGGAGAGCGGAAUUCCUGGUGGAGCGGUGAAAUGCGUAGAUAUCAGGAGGAACGCCGGUGGCGAAAGCGGCUCUCUGGACUGUUACUGACGCUGAGGCCCGAAAGCUAGGGGAGCGAACGGG
rnacentral:rRNA from 1 species